GUGCCAGCGCCGCGGUAAUACGUAGGGGGCGAGCGUUACCCGGAAUCACUGGGCGUAAAGGGAGCGUAGGUGGCCUAACAUGUCAACUGUGAAAACCCGGAGCUCAACUCCGGACUUGCAGUUGAAACUGGUAGGCUUGAGGACGGUAGAGGAAGACGGAACUGCCAGUGUAGGGGUAAAAUCCUUAGAUAUUGGCAGGAACGCCGGUGACGAAGGUGGUUUUCUGGGCCGGUUCUGACACUGAUGCUCGAAAGCCAGGGGAGCGAACGGG
rnacentral:rRNA from 1 species